rnacentral:rRNA from 1 species
AUUGAACGCUGGCGGCAUGCCUUACACAUGCAAGUCGAACGGCAGCACGGGGGCAACCCUGGUGGCGAGUGGCGAACGGGUGAGUAAUGCAUCGGAACGUGCCCAGUAGUGGGGGACUACCAGUCGACAGAUUGGCUAAGACAGCAUACGACCUAUGGGUGAAAGCGGGGGACCGUAAGCCCUCGCGCUAUUGUACCGGCCGGUGUCUGAUUAGCUAGUUGGUGAGGUAAAGGCUCACCAAGGCGACGAUCAGUAGCUGGUCUGAGAGGACGACCAGCCAAACUGGGGCUGAGACACGGCCCAGACGCCUACGGGAGGCAGCAGUGGGGAAUUUUGGACAAUGGGCGCAAGCCUGAUCCAGCCAUGCCGCGUGCGGGAAGAAGGCCUUCGGGUUGUAAACCGCUUUUGGCAGGAACGAAACGGCGCGGGCUAAUACCCAGCGUUAAUGACGGUACCUGCAGAAUAAGCACCGGCUAACUACGUGCCAGCAGCCGCCGUAA